GUGCAGGGUCGGCUCCAGGACAGACGGAUCCAACCCUGGGGAGCUCGUGGUAGCCGGAUCCCAAUGGCGUCACUUGCUCCGAGAGAAACCAACGGAGCCUGCAAGAUUGGUUCCGGUACCUACGGAUCUGACGCUGGGAGCCCGUGGUGGCCGGAUCCGACGGCGGCGAGCCUUCGUUGCACAUGCCCAGGUUCUGUCAAGCAGCACGUUCGGAGUCUCGGGAAGGCCCUUGCCGCCGACAUCAAUGUUUUGCUUCUCUCGUCCGCAUCCACGGGAUCCACACCCCACUCCGCUCCUCUCCCCCAAGCCACCGAAGACGAUAUUUAUGAGAGGGGUUAGGGAAGGCGGAGAGGAUGCAGAGUUCGACUCUGACUAAGAGUUCUCCUCUUGAGGGAUGACGCACGUAUAUAUACGAAAAUUCAGUAACAGGAUUGCUUCGUUCCAGUUUUCUUUGUCUCUUGAUCGCAGGAAAGCAGAUCUAUCAACAAUUGUAUUUCCAGGACAGAAUGCCCUACAAAACUUAUAACCAUUGUUCUUUGAUCUAUUUGAAUUGAUAGUUCAUCAAGCUAAAUUCAGGACCUUGAUUAAGAAACACAGAUUCCAUACUGACUGUGUUCUAUCUUGUUCACAAAUUUUCUCAUCUCCACCUUAGAAAAAUUCUAUUAUAGUUUAUUAAACAAUACUUUUCAGUUUUGUAUUGUAAGAAAGAAAGCCAAUACACUUCAACGACAGAGGAAGGUAGAAAAUAUUUUGCAAAAACAGAGUGUCUGAUUGUGCUUCGUCCCUGGUUUUAACUCUUGAAUGUAAAGAAGUGAAACAACUUGCCCGGUGAAGCUAUUUCACAUUUAACACUGACCCAGGACCUUUAAGCUACGUGAAGCAACCAUGAUGUAUAUCUUGCCUUCAGCAUGAUCAAAUUAUAUCAACUGAAAAAACUACACACACCAAUUGCCAAAGCCAAACUUACCAUUAUUUCAGUCAGAAAUGCAGAACAUAUACGUAUCAGAUUACCGAAUGAAUUACUAUCCCUGAUGGUAGACAAAGGAAACUGCUCACAGAACAAUUCGUACUAUGAUACUAUGGGCAUAUACUAAAGCAUUUUGAGAAGCAUAGAACUAAGCAAAGAGACCAUGAAUCUAUUUUGAUACCCUUCUUCUGAAGCUAUCAUUUCAGGUAUCAAAAUUUUGAUGUGUGAUCUGGUGUCCGAAGUAGAUUUGAAUGCUAGCAUACAUGAAAAUCAACAUUUUUUCUAUUUGGACUUUCUUUAAGUAGGUAAGUAUUUUUCGGAUAACAACUUCGCUUUACCUCAAAAUUGAUCAACCGAUGUGCCAACGAAUAGAACUAUAGAAUUCAGUAAAGUAUGUGCUUAUGUAUUCCCAGAUCCUUGCGAUUCAAACAGUAAACUUCCAAUGAUGGGACUGCCUCUCACGUCCUUUAGCAGCGGAACUCCAUCGAUUAAAUCCUGCUGAUGUAAAAAGAGAAUGUGAUUACUACAGGAUAGUUAUAGAUUAGCCACCAAGAAAAAAAAGGCAAAUACAAAAGGAAAAAUAAAGCUGGAAUAUUUAUCCAUUGCUUAGUGUAAAGAGAAAGCACAUGCAACCAUGCAUUUUUUAUCAAUUAUAAUUGUUUCUACUGGUUUCCCUUCUCCAAAUAACCUGGCAAAUUGUACAAACAGACUAAACAUAUACAAAUUAUUGAUAGCUCAGUUCAUGCCUAACAGAGACCCAUCGCCGACCCGACGCACCUUGAGACAGAUCUUCUUCCUUUGUUUCUUGACUGAUAUGCUGCAUAAAAGUUCU
rnacentral:lncRNA from 1 species